AUUGAACGCUGGCGGCAGGCCUAACACAUGCAAGUCGAGCGGAUGAAGGGAGCUUGCUCCUGGAUUCAGCGGCGGACGGGUGAGUAAUGCCUAGGAAUCUGCCUGGUAGUGGGGGAUAACGUCCGGAAACGGGCGCUAAUACCGCAUACGUCCUGAGGGAGAAAGUGGGGGAUCUUCGGACCUCACGCUAUCAGAUGAGCCUAGGUCGGAUUAGCUAGUUGGUGGGGUAAAGGCCUACCAAGGCGACGAUCCGUAACUGGUCUGAGAGGAUGAUCAGUCACACUGGAACUGGGACACGGUCCAAACCCCUACGGGGGGCAGCAGGGGGAAAUUUUGGAAAAUGGGCGAAAGCCUGAUCCAGCCAGGCCGGGGGGGGGAAAAAGGUUUUCGGAUUGUAAAGCCCUUUAAGUUGGGAGGAAGGGAAGUAAGUUAAUACCUUGCUGUUUUGACGUUACCAAAAAAAUAAGCACCGGCUAACUUCGU
rnacentral:rRNA from 1 species